GUGAGGAAUCUUCCGCAAUGGGCGAAAGCCUGAUGGAGCAACGCCGCGUGAAGGAUGAAGGUCUUCGGAUUGUAAACUUCUUUUAUGAGUGAAGAAUAUGACGGUAACUCAUGAAUAAGCACCGGCUAACUACGUGCCAGCAGCCGCGGUCAUACGUAGGGUGCAAGCAUUAUCCGGAGUGACUGGGCGUAAAGAGUUGCGUAGGCGGUUAUGUAAGCGAAUAGUGAAACCUGGUGGCUCAACCACACAGACUAUUAUUCGAACUGCAUAACUCGAGAAUGGUAGAGGUAACUGGAAUUUCUUGUGUAGGAGUGAAAUCCGUAGAUAUAAGAAGGAACACCAAUGGCGUAGGCAGGUUACUGGGCCAUUUCUGACGCUAAGGCACGAAAGCGUGGGGAGCGAACCGGAUUAGAUACCCGUGUAGUCC
rnacentral:rRNA from 1 species